AGAGUUUGAUCCUGGCUCAGAACGAACGCUGGCGGCGUGGAUAAGACAUGCAAGUCGGACGGGACUAUUUCUAGUAGCAAUACCGGGGAUAGUUUAGUGGCGAACGGGUGCGUAACACGUGGGCAAUCUGCCUUAAAGUGGGGGAUAGCUCGGCGAAAGCCGGAUUAAUACCGCAUGUGAUUAGCGGAGACAUCUUCGCGAAAUUAAAGUCGGGGCAACCUGACGCUUUUUGAGGAGCCCGCGGCCUAUCAGCUUGUUGGUGAGGUAACGGCUCACCAAGGCUUUGACGGGUAGCUGGUCUGAGAGGACGACCAGCCACACUGGGACUGAGACACGGCCCAGACACCUACGGGUGGCAGCAGUCGAGAAUUUUUCUCAAUGGGGGAAACCCUGAAGGAGCGGCGCCGCGUGGAGGAUGAAGGUCUUCGGAUUGUAAACUCCUGUCAUUGGGGAACAAUGGUUACGCGUUAACUGCGCGUGACUUGAUAGUACUCGAAGAGGAAGAGACGGCUAACUCUGUGCCAGCAGCCGCGGUAAUACAGAGGUCUCAAGCGUUGUUCGGAUUCAUUGGGCGUAAAGGGUGCGUAGGCGGCGCGGUAAGUCGGGUGUGAAAUCUCGGGGCUUAACUCCGAAACUGCAUUCGAUACUGCCGUGCUUGAGGACUGGAGAGGAGACUGGAAUUUACGGUGUAGCAGUGAAAUGCGUAGAUAUCGUAAGGAAGACCAGUGGCGAAGGCGGGUCUCUGGACAGUUCCUGACGCUGAGACACGAAGGCCAGGGGAGCAAACGGGAUUAGAUACCCUAGUAGUCC
rnacentral:rRNA from 1 species